AUCCAUGACAGUCGUAAACAAAAUUGAAGUUGUCAUUGGAAAACUAACAUCGAGAUUCAGUUCGCUAUUGGCUCCUAUAGAGACCAUUGAUAUUAGUAACGACUGUGCUGCAAUGGCAAAACAUUGGGCACUACAAAGAAUGGGAACUCAGCCGAUUCAUCUACAUCUGCAAAAGGUUCUUAUGUUGCGUCGUCAUAAUCUUGGCUACUUCCCAAUGCACAACCAUCAUAAUUUACUGAAAAGUCAGUGACACCAGCAAAAGAUGCUACUCAACUCAAAAAAGUUUGUCUGCACAAAAGCUGCAGCUAAAAAAGAUGUAAUACGAACGCAAAAUCCAAAUCCUUCUGCUUUACCAUUAAGAAGCAAACCAAUUGCUACUUUGGAAGAUCCAUUGACUUCUAAAUUAGCAGACAAACCAACGCUAGCAACGCUGAUGAGUUAAUUGUCUAGUACCAGAGAUGCUGUGACAAAUAAAAAUGAAGCCAGUAAUGAUCGUCGAAUUAGUUCUGGGGCAACUAGAAAUAUUCAAUCCAAGUCCUCCAUCUGGGUCUAACCUGCAGUUAGUGUGAAUAAACCCCCCGUGGAGUGGCCGAAAUCAAGUCAAUCGUCCACCAGUACUCUAAAUAGGGUGGCCGCCAAGAGUGCUAAAUGUGAUUUCGAAAAAUCAAUCCAAGUCCUCCUCAUGAUUCAUUACAAGACAAUCCAGUUUCAGCUAAAGUGAAUGAUACAUUGAAGACAUCGUCAAGACUUACUGUGGAAGCAUCGUCAUCGCAACAACGAUUAAGCAUUCCAAAUGAGUUGAUCUCUAAUAGUAGGACUAGUUUUUUGACGCACAAAAGUCAAAGUAAAUUUGCAGUAGUCGAUUUCACUCGUAGGUCCAAUCCUUGUAAUCCAGUAACACCACAAACUAUCCCGUGACUAUUUUUUAAAUGUUUUACCAAAUUUGUUCGACUUUUUUGGACAAAUUUACACAAUUUACAUAUGUAAACAAUUAUUGGAGCUCGAUCUGCAUAACUCUCAUUGUGGAAUAAAUCUGCAUCUAAAAAACA